rnacentral:rRNA from 1 species
GUAGGGGGCAAGCGUUGUCCGGAAUUAUUGGGCGUAAAGCGCGCGCAGGCGGCCCGUUAAGUCAGAUGUGAAAUCCCUCGGCUCAACCGAGGACCUGCAUUUGAAACUGACAGGCUAGAGUACAGGAGAGGGAAGCGGAAUUCCUAGUGUAGCGGUGAAAUGCGCAGAUAUUAGGAAGAACACCGGUGGCGAAGGCGGCUUCCUGGACUGUUACUGACGCUGAGGUGCGAAAGCUAGGGGAGCGAACAGGGAUUAGAUACCCUGGUAGUCCUAGCCGUAAACGAUGGGCACUAGGUGUAGGGGGUAUCAAUCCCCCCCCCUGUGCCGAAGCUAACGCAUUAAGUGCCCCGCCUGGGGAGUACGGCCGCAAGGCUA